GUGUUGCAUGAAAGGAGAGAAGGCUAGCACUCCCCUUGACAGGGAUGGAAGAGGCCCUUGGACCUGCACAGCAUGCUUACGGUUAUGGCAUUGCCGCCUACUUCGUGGCAUCUAACCAUCAUUUUUC
ensembl:snRNA